AGAUUGAACGCUGGCGGCGUGCUUAACACAUGCAAGUCGAGCGGUAACAGGCGUAGCAAUACGUGCUGACGAGCGGCGAACGGGUGCGUAAUACAUGGGAAUCUGCCUUUUAGUGGGGAAUAACCCGGCGAAAGCCGGGCUAAUGCCGCAUAAGAUCUUCGGAUGAAAGCGGGGGAUCGUAAGACCUCGCGCUGAUAGAUGAGCCCAUGCCGGAUUAGCUAGUUGGUGAGGUAACGGCUCACCAAGGCGACGAUCCGUAGCUGGUCUGAGAGGACGGCCAGCCACACUGGGACUGAGACCACGGCCCAGACUCCUACGGGAGCAGCAGUGGGAAUAUGGACAAUGGGGGAACCUGAUCCAGCGACGCCGCGUGUGUGAAGAAGGCCGUGGCGGUUGUAAGCUACGUUUCGGAGGAACGAAGUAGU
rnacentral:rRNA from 1 species